UAGCAUAUCAAUAAGCGGAGGAAAAGAAACCAACAGGGAUUGCCCUAGUAACGGCGAGUGAAGCGGCAACAGCUCAAAUUUGAAAUCUGGCUUCGGCCCGAGUUGUAAUUUGCAGAGGAUGCUUCUGGCGCGGUGCCUUCCGAGUUCCCUGGAACGGGACGCCAAAGAGGGUGAGAGCCCCGUAUGGUUGGACACCAAGCCUGUGUGAAGCUCCUUCGACGAGUCGAGUAGUUUGGGAAUGCUGCUCUAAAUGGGAGGUAAAUCUCUUCUAAAGCUAAAUACCGGCCAGAGACCGAUAGCGCACAAGUAGAGUGAUCGAAAGAUGAAAAGCACCUUGAAAAGGGGGUUAAAUAGUACGUGAAAUUGUUGAAAGGGAAGCACUUAUGACCAGACUUGGGCCGGGCGGCUCAUCAGGGGUUCUCCCCUGUGCACUCCGCCCGGCACAGGCCAGCAUCGGUUCUCGUGGGGGGAUAAGACCGUCGGGAACGUAGCACCCUCCGGGGUGUGUUAUAGCCCGGCGGACGAUACCCCCGUGGGGACCGAGGUCCGCGCUCCGCAAGGAUGCUGGCGUAAUGGUCAUCAGUGACCCGUCUUGAAACACGGACCAAGGAGUCGUCCAUUAGAGCGAGCGUUUGGGUGUAAAACCCGCACGCGUAAUGAAAGUGAACGCAGGUGAGAGCUUCGGCGCAUCAUCGACCGAUCCUGAUGUUCUCGGAAGGAUUUGAGUAAGAGUUUUAACGGACGGACCCGAAAGACAGUGAACUAUGCUUGUAUAGGGUGAAGCCAGAGGAAACUCUGGUGGAGGCUCGCAGCGGUUCUGACGUGCAAAUCGAUCGUCAAAUAUGAGCAUGGGGGCGAAAGACUAAUCGAACUGUCUAGUAGCUGGUUACCGCCG
rnacentral:rRNA from 1 species